rnacentral:rRNA from 1 species
UACAGAGGGGGCAAGCGUUGUUCGGAAUUACUGGGCGUAAAGCGUGCGCAGGCGGUUUUGUAAGCCAGAUGUGAAAUCCCCGGGCUUAACCUGGGAAUGGCAUUUGGGACUGCAAGGCUGGAGUACGGCAGAGGAGACUGGAAUUCCUGGUGUAGCAGUGAAAUGCGUAGAGAUCAGGAGGAAUACCGAUGGCGAAGGCAGGUCUCUGGGCUGAUACUGACGCUCAUGCACGAAAGCGUGGGGAGCAAACAGG